GCGUUGUCCGGAAUUAUUGGGCGUAAAGAGCUCGUAGGUGGUUUGUCGCGUUGUUCGUGAAAACUCACAACUCAAUUGUGGGCGUGCGGGCGAUACGGGCAGACUGGAGUACUGCAGGGGAGACUGGAAUUCCUGGUGUAGCGGUGGAAUGCGCAGAUAUCAGGAGGAACACCGGUGGCGAAGGCGGGUCUCUGGGCAGUAACUGACGCUGAGGAGCGAAAGCGUGGGGAGCGAACAGG
rnacentral:rRNA from 1 species